ACUUGCGUGGUCUAAUGGUCAUGACGUCUGAUUCACAAAUGAAUCUCACAAUUCUCAGAAGGUUCCCGGUUCGAUCCCGGGCGCGAGUA
rnacentral:tRNA from 1 species